GUUUUAGGGCCUGACCCAAAGCCCAUCAAAGUCAGAGGGAAUCUUUUCACUGACAUCAAUGGACUUUGGAUCAAGCCCAUACUAC
rnacentral:pre_miRNA from 1 species